CUGUGAUCCUUCUGCUCCUCAUCCACGCCUCCCGAUCUCCCGUCAGCGUGAGGACUUUUUCUUGAUGUUUUUGAAGAGUUUAUUUUUCUGGAACAGUUCUUGGAAGUUCUCUUCUAAAAAUUCGUUUUUUUGGAGUUCUCUGCCCUAAAAUUCGGAUUCUGUAGCUUUUGGAUGUUCUCCUCGUGGCAGUCGCGUCCUCCCCUGAAUCGGUGGAGCUCGAUCGCCAACCAUGGUACGGCGCACCCACCACUUGUCCCUUCCCCUUCUCUUCCUCCUCUUGGGGCAGCUUCCGGCUUUUCUUCUUCGCGCCAUCUUUUGGCGUCCACAUCCGGCCGCAGGUGGAGGCAUCGCCCACUUGCGACGCCAGUUCACCCUUAUUUCUACUGACAACGAUCUCCAGGACGCUGGGACAAUGGCCCCGACGCGGUGAUACCCAUUGUCGCCGACUCCACUCUUCUGUUUGUCUGGGGCACGAGCAUCACAGUCUUGGUUCCUUGGUUCCUUCAUCACUUCCGGUACCCACGGUAUAGAAUUGCACUCCCAACUCAUUAUAGAGAUAGGGGAUGGGAUUCUGUGCACGUCGAAGGCCGCCAUGGCUGCAACUAUGACCCUGAUCUUUACAGCCAGAUGUUGAGGUAGCCGCCAAGGUGCUAGCCACAUCUUCCCCGGUGUGCUACAGAAUGGAUCAUUAGAACACUUUGUUAGAGGGAUAUGUCCUCUAGGAAGGCCAUUUACACACACAUUGAAUCACAUGCAUUAUCAUCUUCAUGUGCUGCCUCAAAGUAUAUUUACUCUUUUUCAUUGAAAUCUGCAGUUUGGAGUGCAAGAUUUCCUGGAUCUUUGUACAUUUUCUGCAAAAUUAGUUAUACAAGAAAACAUAUACAUAACUGACUGUCUUUUGAAGACUUGAAGCUGCAGAGGCAUGAUACAUCAUUACACAAAAAUGAGGAGGAACCUCCAAGGAAGCAGAAAGAAGCUGCACUGCAGCACUGCAGCUCUCAAGGUUGAAUAUGCUCAUUCCAUCCACUUCUAUCUAUUGCAAAUUGUCCUGGUUUUACAAAAGAUGCUAUUGUUUCAUUGUCCUUUUCCAACGAUUGGAGCUGUAGUCUGCCUUUUGGCAAAAGGUGCAUUAAUUCAAAUUCUGUAUCAAAUAGUACAAUAAGACACUGAAGUUGUACUGCAUCAAACUGAAGUUUCUUCAAGGCCAUAUGCACAUAGAAAAGGCAGUAGAAAGCAAUGACAGGACUCUUCUAAUCAACAGUUCACUUCUGUUGCAGUGGAAGAACAGCACUGAAACAGCUGAAGCAGGAUCACCAGUU